UAUAAAAAGAGCAUGCAAGUUAAUAAAUUAGUAAGUAAAGUACAACAAUACCCUAUGGGGAAACAUGUAUACAUCUCUACUCUGUGUAAUAUGAAUCAUCAUCACUCCAUGCCCUCAGGUAGCCAAGUUAAAUAUGACAGGAGUGCACAAAUCUAACCGGGCACCAGUGCAGUGACAUAGCACGAAGUCUGAAAAGAAAAACCAGUGGUCCCUGCAUGAGCCAUCAGAGAGCCAGGAAGGAGUCAGAUGCCACUCUGGGCCCACAGAUUCCCGCCCAAUGGGACCAAGAAGAGAAGCUAGGGGAGCAUUCAGCAUAUCAAGGCCUAUUUAGCCCAGUGCUGUGGUAGCCAGCAGGUGUGGGAAGAUGUUCUUGCACUUUAUACCACAACCUGAUUCUUCCAGUUCUCUCACCGGCUCUGUGAGGUUGACUGGCAGCGAUGGUUUUCCCAACCCCAUCUCCCACAGUGAUGUUAGGAACCCACGAGCAUUCUUCAUUGUGACACCACAGCAAGCGUCCAGGUGCCAAUACAGACUCAGUUACGCCAGGCCUGUUUUUAGCUCUUAGAGUCAGGGCUGAUUUCUCAGGUUAACAAAUUUUAGUGAAACUAAAUUACCUUAGUUACCUAAUUACCUCUUAAUAUCCUCAUUAGAGAGAAGUGGGGAUAUCACUACCAGAUAAAAUCCCUAAAAUCUCAUUUUAUCCGUAGCUUCAUUUGCAGGACCACACAACCCCUUCAAAGAUCCCCAGCUGAUAGCAGUGAUGGCGUGACAGGAUUGUGCUGCUCUCAAAAACAUCCCUAUGGGCACGCUUGAAACGCGGUGAGAGAGCUGCUGCCCACCUGCCUGCCCAGCAAGAUGCAUCAGCAACAAGACUGCAGGCUCUCCGCAGGUGAAAGCCGUAGGUUAUCUACCAACCCCAGACCUCGGAGGCAAGUGCAGACACAUGUCAGCAUCGCAAAGACUAUCUGCAGAAGUAAACCAGAGAGCCGCCUCCAGUGAUGCGGCUGUUUUGACCAUACUUGCUUCCCUGGGGUUGACCAUUGCAACAGAUGCUGUCUUCCGAAGCAAACAAAAGAGCUACCGACCGGAGAGCCAGGCUCCUCUGUGCCAUUCACCUCCAUCUCACCAACCACCUCUGCUGGUCAUGCUCAAGUUCAGUGCCAACAAACGCUGGAUCUGUUUCGAAGACCUGACCUUCCCGUGGGAUCUCACAUGACUCCAAAGCACCCAGGAUUCACAGCCUGCCAGGCCAGAAUGUGCUUCUGAAUCUGUCCUCUCAAUAAAGAUCGCCCCACCUCGGCCA